rnacentral:rRNA from 1 species
GACGAACGCUGGCGGCGUGCUUAACACAUGCAAGUCGAACGGUGAAGCGCCUUCCUUUUUGGUGGGUGUGGAUGAGUGGCGAACGGGUGAGUAACACGUGAGUAACCUGCCCCCUUCUUCUGGAUAACCGCAUGAAAGUGUGGCUAAUACGGGAUAUUCUGGGUCUGUCGCAUGAUGGGUCUGGGAAAGAUGUUGUUUCGGUGGGGGAUGGGCUCGCGGCCUAUCAGCUUGUUGGUGGGGUGAUGGCCUACCAAGGCGGUGACGGGUAGCCGGCCUGAGAGGGUGGACGGUCACACUGGGACUGAGACACGGCCCAGACUCCUACGGGAGGCAGCAGUGGGGAAUAGUGCACAAUGGGCGCAAGCCUGAUGCAGCGACGCCGCGUGAGGGAUGGAGGCCUUCGGGUUGUGAACCUCUUUCGCCAGUGAAGCAGGCCUGCCUCGUUUGUGGGUGGGUUGACAGUAGCUGGAUAAGAAGCGCCGGCUAACUACGUG